GAGUGUGAGGGAGAUCUGGUUGUGAAAUCUGUCAGCCCAUUGAUCUCUAGGGUUGACUCGGCUGAUCUGGCUUCUUAGGUGAGCAUUCCCUUCCUCCCUCACUGCUCCAUGUGUAUUCCCAUCCCCAUCUCAAAGGGGUUCACUCGGUUGAAGAGGAUGAACAUCUCCACUACAGGAGGACCGUUCUUCAGUAUAGGGUUUAUGAGCCACACGCAUCCCUGCUAGAACUUCCCAACAAGCCCUCUCAAGAUAUCUGACUGCUCCAGACCACCACGCUGGAGAAGUCAUGGGAAGGGCUCAGGUUGACUGUUCCAGCUGAGCCCAGCCUUCUC
rnacentral:snRNA from 1 species